AAGCCUAAUCCCAAAUAUUCCAGUUUUAAAUUCAUCCAGGACAUGGGUCCUGGGGAGGGGAGAUGAAAGCCCUCCAACAGCACCUAACCAUCCCAGCCUUUUAUCCUUGACACCUCCCCGAGCGUCCACUGUGAGAUUCCCGAGCACUCGUUUUCAGCAAAGCAGCGAUUUGUUAGUGGCGAGGUGGGAAAAAAAAUUACAGCGAGUCCGCCGACAACAUGCCCCAGUCAGUGUUUCACCUACCGUAAGUUCCAGCCGCUGCAGACAGCAGCAGCGAGUUCCCAACAGCAACAGUCAUCAGCGGCUCCUGCAGCCCACUACAAAGAUGGGAUUCAUCCAGCGAGUGUUCAUUCACCAACUCCGUCAGUUUCACCACCAUCAAGGAAGCAAAUCCAUCCGGGAGAGAGGGGUUUCCCUCAACGUCCGCUUACACGAGAACAGUUCUGUCUUGUCCCUGCAUUUGAAUGGCUCUCCAUUCCUCCCUCCUCCUGGCUGGUUUUGCAGCCGUCCGGCGAGUGUGAAGAUGUUUUGAAAGCGGGAGGGGAGAGUGCUGGGGGUUUUCAGUGCUAACUGCACUGGAGUGUGGCCAGGAGAGGAGACUUCAAGGCAACAUCCGCCCCAAACCACAGCGGCAUACAACACAACUGGUUAUGACUUCCCUUUGAAGCUGAGAGGACGUGAAGCUGGGACACAAUCACUGUGCCAUAAGAUUCCCAAACUUUAACCCAGAGUUCCGGAUUAUUGGUCCAGUGUCACGUCCCCCUGCUCUACCUCAUUGAAGUCUUCAAGAGAAAGAGAGUGACUGGUCAUGGACAACUUGCCAGGUGUCUCACUCUGUCUGAAUGAGAAAUGAAAAAAUGACACAAGGCCAGGCAGAGCAACAUCAACUGCAGCAGAAGACAGGGACAAGAGAUGAAUGGAGCUAUUCACCUGGCGUCAGCUGAAUGAAGAGGUUGUACCAUCCUUUUGUCAGCAUCUGAAGCAUAAGACUCCUAUCUCCUGAGCAA